rnacentral:rRNA from 1 species
CAGCAGCCGCGUUAAUACCGGCGGCCCGAGUGGCGGUCACUAUUAUUGGGCUUAAAGCGUCCGUAGCCGGGUUGGGAAGUCCUCCGGGAAAUCUGGCCGCUUAACGGUCAGAAUGCCGGAGGAUACUCCCAGCCUAGGGAGCGGGAGAGGCCGAGGGUAUUCCCGGAGUAGGGGUGAAAUCCUAUAAUCCCGGGAGGACCACCUGUGGCGAAGGCGCUCGGCUGGAACGCGUCCGACGGUGAGGGACGAAGGCCAGGGGAGCAAACCGGAUUAGAUACCCGGGUAGUCCUGGCUGUAAACGAUGCGGACUUUGUGUCGGACAAGCUAUGAGCUUGUCCGGUGCCGGAGGGAAACCGUUAAGUCCGCCGCCUGGGGAGUACGGCCGCAAGGCUGAAACUUAAAGGAAUUGGCGGG